rnacentral:rRNA from 1 species
UGGGGAAUAUUGCACAAUGGGCGCAAGCCUGAUGCAGCCAUGCCGCGUGUGUGAAGAAGGCCUUCGGGUUGUAAAGCACUUUCAGCGAGGAGGAAGGUGGUGAACUUAAUACGUUCAUCAAUUGACGUUACUCGCAGAAGAAGCACCGGCUAACUCCGUGCCAGCAGCCGCGGUAAUACGGAGGGUGCAAGCGUUAAUCGGAAUUACUGGGCGUAAAGCGCACGCAGGCGGUUUGUUAAGUCAGAUGUGAAAUCCCCGGGCUCAACCUGGGAACUGCAUUUGAAACUGGCAAGCUAAAGUCUCGUAGAGGGGGGUAGAAUUCCAGGUGUAGCGGUGAAAUGCGUAGAGAUCUGGAGGAAUACCGGUGGCGAAGGCGGCCCCCUGGACGAAGACUGACGCUCAGGUGCGAAAGCGUGGGGGAGCAAACAGGAUUAGAUACCCUGGUAGUCCACGCUGUAAACGAUGUCGAUUUUGGAGGUUGUGCCCUUGAGGCGUGGCUUCCGGAGCUAACGCGUUAAAUCGACCG